UACGAGAAAAAUCGCCAAGUUCAAGGCCGAAAAUUGGCACCGUUCAGACGACGCGGUGGACGGGCUACCCUGGCCGGUAUGUGCCGGAUACCUUCGGUCACGCUAUUUUUAGAAAUCGUCCGAAAGAAUUAAUUUCGUUUUCGCGAUUACACACCGUCGUCGUCGUCGUCGUUAAUAACCCACGCGUUAUUGUUUUAUCACUACGCCGGUGUUACAAUAUCAAUUACUGUCUUGUUUAUCGCGGAAACGCCGCGCGUUUAACUCUUCUUUUCUAAUUAUUAUCAAUUAUUACACAAUAAUGAUAUUAUCACAGUAAUAAUACAACCGCCGCCGGGCAGCCGCGUUAUCUUCCGACCGCUUGGUUUUUAACGAGCCGCGUAAGAACUCGACAACGAUCUCUCGAACGGGUACAACGCAGCACUAUACAAUGUACGUUCGAAGGCGAAAAC